rnacentral:Y_RNA from 1 species
GGCUGGUCCGAAGGUAGUGAGUUAUAUCAUGUGAUUGUUCACAGUCAGUUACAGAUUGAACUCCUUGUUCUACUACUUUCCCCCCUCCUCACUACUGCACUUGACUAGUCUUAA